UACAGAGGUCUCAAGCGUUGUUCGGAUUCAUUGGGCGUAAAGGGUGCGUAGGCGGCGCGGUAAGUUGGGUGUGAAAUCUUGGAGCUUAACUCCGAAACUGCAUUCGAUACUGCCGUGCUUGAGGACUGGAGAGGAGACUGGAAUUUACGGUGUAGCGGUGAAAUGCGUAGAUAUCGUUUGGAACGCCAAUGGUGAAAACAGGUUGCUGGGAGUGUGCUGACGCUGAGACACGAAAGCCAGGGGAGCGAACGGG
rnacentral:rRNA from 1 species